AUUGAACGCUGGCGGCAGGCCUAACACAUGCAAGUCGAGCGGAUGAAGGGAGCUUGCUCCUGGAUUCAGCGGCGGAAGGGUGAGUAAUGCCUAGGAAUCUGCCUGGUAGUGGGGGAUAAUGUCCGGAAACGGGCGCUACUAAUGCAUACGUCCUGAGGGAGAAAGUGGGGGAUCUUCGGACAUCACGCUAUCAGAUGAGCCUAGGUCGGACUAGUUAGUUGGUGGGGUAAGGGCCUACCAAGGCGGCGAUCCGUAGCUGGUCUGAGAGGAUGAUUAGUCACAUUGGAACUUGAACACGGACCAUGCUCCUACGAGAGGCAGCAGUGUCCAAUGUUGGACAAUAGGCGAAAACCUUGUCCAGCCAGGCGACGUGUGAUAAGGAAGUCUUCGGAUUGUGAAGCACGUUAAGUUGGGGGAAACGGCAGUAAGUUAAUACCAUGCUUUUUUGACGUUACCGGCAAAAUAAGCACCGGCUAACUUCGUG
rnacentral:rRNA from 1 species